rnacentral:lncRNA from 1 species
CCCCCCCAUUUUGAGGCUAAAACCCCCCUUUUUGGGGCCAAGACCCCCCACUUUGGGGCCGAGGUGUCCGUUUUGAGGCCGGGGGCCUCCCCGUUUUGAGGCCGGGACUCCCAGUUUUGGGCCCAGGACCCCUGUUUUGAGGCCGGGGACCCCCUUUUUGGGGGGGCAGGAACACCGCUUUGGGGUCAAAACCCCCCAUUUCGGGGCCAAGACGCCCAUUUUGAGGCCAGGGACCUCUCCAUUUUGAGGCCGGGACUCUCAAUUUUGGGUGCAGAACACUCGUUUUGAGGCCGGAGAGCCCCUUUUUGGGGCUGAGAACCCGAUUUGGGGCCGGGGACCCCCAUUUUGAGGCUAAGAACCCCCUUUUGGGGUCAGGGACUUUCCUUUUUUGAGGCCGGGAACCUCCAUUUUGAGGCCGGAACGCCUGUUUUGGGGACCUCCCUGGUUUUGGGCUGAAAAACCCCAUUUUUGGGGCCGGGGACCCCCUUUUUGGGGCUCAAAACCCUCCUUUUAGUGCCGGGGACCGCCAUCUGGUGUCGGGGACCCCCCCGUUUUGGGGUCAAACACUCCCGUUUUGGGGUCAGACCCCGCAUUUUGGGGCCGGGGACCCCUUUUUGGAGGCAGAGCCCCCCCCAGCGUGGAGCCCCUUUUUACUGGGGCCCCCCUCUUUGUACUGGGAGCCCCCUUUUUAUACUGGGGCCCCCUCGUUUGACCUGAGGACCCCCCCCCCUUUUUAUCGGGCCCCCCCCCGUGGGGCCGGGGACCCCCUAUUUAUUGCCGCGGGGCCGCGUUUCGGGGCCGUUCCCCUCGGUUUCAGGUUCUCGAUGACUUUCUUCGCCCCCUGCUCCUCGUCUCGCUGCUCUGUCCGGCCGCCGGCGGUUUCGGGGCUCCCCCGGGGGGGAUUGGGGUGGUUUUGGGGCUCCCAGGAGGAAUUUGGGUGGUUUUGGGGCUCCCCCUGAAGAGUUUUGGUGGUUUCAAGGCGCCCCUGUGGGGAUUUUGGAGGUUUCGAGGCUCCCCGGGGGGGGGAUUUGGGUGGUUUUGGGGCUCCCCCAUAAAAGUUUUGGUUUCGGGGCUCCCCAGGGGGGAGUUUGGGUGGUUUCGGGGCUCCCCUCUGAGAAUUACGGGGGUUUUAAGGCUCCCCACUGGGAAUUUUGGUGGUUUCGAGGCUCCCCGUAAGGGUUUGGGUGGUUUUGGGGCUCCGCUGUAGGAAUUUGGGGGGUUUCGGGGCUCCCCCAAAAGAAUUUGGGUGUUUUGGGGGCUCCCUUUUAGGGAUUUGGGUGGUUUCGGGGCUCCCCGGAGGGGAUUUGGGUGGUUUCGGGGCUCCCCGUUGGGAAUUGUGGCGGUUUUGAGGCUCUCCGGAAGAACCGUGGAGGUUUUGGGGCUCCCUUGGGGGGAUUUGCGUGGUUUUGGGGCUCCCCGGGGGGAUUCUGGUAGUUUUGGGGCUCCCCAGGAGGGAUUUUGGCGG